rnacentral:misc_RNA from 1 species
GAUGAAGAACGUAGCGAAAUGCGAUACUUGGUGUGGAUUGCAGAAUCCCGUGAACCAUCGAGUCUUUGAACGCAAGUUGCGCCCGAAGCCAUUAGGCCGAGGGCACGCCUGCCUGGGCGUCACACGUCGUUGCCCCCCCAUCUACUCCUUCGGGAUUGCGGGGGGCGGAUGAUGGCCUCCCGUGCGCCUCGUCGCGCGGUUGGCAUAAAUGCCAAGUCCUCGGCGACGCACGCCACGACAAUCGGUGGUUGCGAAACCUCGGUUGCCCGUCGUGUGCGGUCGUCGCGCAUCGAGGGCUCGAAAAAAUUGUCGGGCUCCGGCUCGGCUUUCAACGCGACCCCGGGUCAGGCGGGGUUACCCGCUGAAUUUAAGCAUAUCAAUAAGCGGAGGA